UUAAAUGAAUGGAAAUAAACUAUAUUCAAAUUCAAUUUGCAUUUACACAUUCCAACUACUAACAUUUAUUCCUCCCACAUUUGAACUACCAACAUUUAUUCACCCCACAUUUCAACUACCAACAUUUACUCACCAACAUCUAUCCUUCGUCUAUUUACAUAAACAUUCGAACUACUACUCACCUUUAACCAUUUUCUUUUUGGCAAGCAUUUUGCAAGCUUCCUGCCUAAUCAAGCUUCCUACGUGAUCGACUACAGCAAAAAGGUAACCUUCAUGUGAUAAAAAUAAAUUUAAAAUCUAUUUAUGAAUACUAUUAUGUUAAAAAGUUAUACAAAUGAUCUUUAAAUUUUUUGCUAUUCAAGAUUAAAUCUGUAGUGUCGAGUUCUCCUAUGAUAGUUUAAGGUAGCACACUAAAAUCAUGUUUUACAGUAUAACAUGUCCAUAUUAAUUUUUUUUUUACCUUAAGAAGACGCCGAAGUGUAGCACUCCACGCAGCACGGAGUGGGAAUGUCCACACUCUGCUCUGCGCGGAGUACGGAGACUCCGAGCUGUUUGCACUCCGCGUUGCAUGGAGUGCACUCCGCGAUAAAACUGAUCUUCGUCUUUAAAAAAUACUCUCCAACUAUAUUCUAAAUAGGAUCUCAGAUACACUGAUGAUAUGAGUAAAUGAGAUUUAAACAAAAUUUAACAUUCCUUCUAAAAAAAUUAUUUUAAUCCCUUUUGGAUAUAAAAUUUAGGUUUUUCCAAUUUAUCACUUCGAAAAAAUAAAAAUUCAACAGAAUUAACAUGAUGUAUUUUCUGAAAUCAACUAACACGCAUAAUGUGAAAAUUUUCAUUUGUCUAUUAACACUAGAAAAUCUUCUUGUUUAACUAACUAAUUUUUUACUUAACAUAAUCCUCAAUUACAUCAGACCAUUGUUUUUAUUUGCAUAAUUAACGCAAUUAUUAAAAAGUUUUUGACAAGCA
rnacentral:lncRNA from 1 species